GUGAGGAAUAUUGGUCAAUGGGCGAGAGCCUGAACCAGCCAAGUCGCGUGAAGGAAGAAGGAUCUAUGGUUCGUAAACUUCUUUUGCAGGGGAAUAAAGUGCGGGACGUGUCCUGUUUUGUAUGUACCCUGAGAAUAAGGAUCGGCUAACUCCGUGCCAGCAGCCGCGGUAAUACGGAGGAUCCGAGCGUUAUCCGGAUUUAUUGGGUUUAAAGGGUGCGUAGGUGGUUUGAUAAGUCAGCGGUGAAAGUUUGCAGCUUAACUGUAAAAAUGCAGUUGAAACUGUCGGACUUGAGUGUAAAUGAGGUAGGCGGAAUGCGUGGUGUAGCGGUGAAAUGCAUAGAUAUCACGCAGAACUCCGAUUGCGAAGGCAGCUUACUAAGCUACAACUGACACUGAAGCACGAAAGCGUGGGGAUCAAACAGGAUUAGAAACCCUUGUAGUCC
rnacentral:rRNA from 1 species